ACUCUAGGGCCGCCCUUCAGGGCGCGCGGAUUUGUUUCUAGAUCUCAGUCCCGAGGCUACCCAAGGCCUUUCUCUCUAACCCUCAGGAGGAAGAGCAAGUUCCGUAACAGACAGAAGUUUAGAUUGUCAUUCCCAACUGCUAGUCAGGAAGCGGAAGUUAAACUCUUAGCAAAAUGGCAGCACUUGGAAAGACAAAUUGAGCCAAACUACCUGGGUUCAAAUCCUGCCUCCACCACACACUACGAUUACCAACGAUCCUGAUCUGCCCAAGGCUGAGGAGUUUCCCAGGAUAUGGGAUUUUCACUGCUAAAACCAGGAUAGUCCCACGCAAAGCAGCAUGGCUGAUCACCCUACUUGCUGCCAUGAGACUACCACCAUCCUCGAGGAUGAUAGAUCCCAAGGAGAGAGUGACCCAGUCAACAUCCAGCCCCAAUCCAGUCCAGAUAAUAGCAAAUGCAUGAGUUAAUUCAGAUGAGGAAACGGAGGCACAUAGAGAUUGAAGAGCUUAUGUGAGCUCACCAGGCUGGUC